AUUGAACGCUGGCGGCAGGCCUAACACAUGCAAGUCGAGCGGAUGAAGAGAGCUUGCUCUCUGAUUUAGCGGCGGACGGGUGAGUAAUGCCUAGGAAUCUGCCUGGUAGUGGGGGAUAACGUCCGGAAACGGGCGCUAAUACCGCAUACGUCCUACGGGAGAAAGCAGGGGACCUUCGGGCCUUGCGCUAUCAGAUGAGCCUAGGUCGGAUUAGCUAGUUGGUGAGGUAAUGGCUCACCAAGGCGACGAUCCGUAACUGGUCUGAGAGGAUGAUCAGUCACACUGGAACUGAGACACGGUCCAGACUCCUACGGGAGGCAGCAGUGGGGAAUAUUGGACAAUGGGCGAAAGCCUGAUCCAGCCAUGCCGCGUGUGUGAAGAAGGUCUUCGGAUUGUAAAGCACUUUAAGUUGGGAGGAAGGGCAGUAAGUUAAUACCUUGCUGUUUUGACGUUACCGACGGAAUAAGCACCGGCUAACUUCGUGCCAGCAGCCGCCGUAAUAC
rnacentral:rRNA from 1 species